rnacentral:ncRNA from 1 species
AAAAUUUAAUAUCUAGCCCUCGUAUAAUAAUAGGAAUAUGGCCUAUGAGUCUCUACCCAAUUACCGGAAAUAAUUGGACUAUGGGGGAAAGUAAAU